rnacentral:pre_miRNA from 13 species
UCACAUUUACCCUGUAGAUCCGAAUUUAUGUGCUGUUGUAUUGUAAGAACCGGGCAACCGGCCAACGUAAAUUCGGUUCUAGAGAGGUCGCUGUGAG